rnacentral:rRNA from 1 species
AAAUUGAAGAGUUUGAUCAUGGCUCAGAUUGAACGCUGGCGGCAGGCCUAACACAUGCAAGUCGAACGGUAACAGGAAGCAGCUUGCUGCUUUGCUGACGAGUGGCGGACGGGUGAGUAAUGUCUGGGAAACUGCCUGAUGGAGGGGGAUAACUACUGGAAACGGUGGCUAAUACCGCAUAACGUCGCAAGACCAAAGAGGGGGACCUUCGGGCCUCUUGCCAUCAGAUGUGCCCAGAUGGGAUUAGCUUGUUGGUGAGGUAACGGCUCACCAAGGCGACGAUCCCUAGCUGGUCUGAGAGGAUGACCAGCCACACUGGAACUGAGACACGGUCCAGACUCCUACGGGAGGCAGCAGUGGGGAAUAUUGCACAAUGGGCGCAAGCCUGAUGCAGCCAUGCCGCGUGUAUGAAGAAGGCCUUCGGGUUGUAAAGUACUUUCAGCGGGGAGGAAGGUGUUGCGGUUAAUAACCGCAGCAAUUGACGUUACCCGCAGAAGAAGCA